rnacentral:rRNA from 1 species
GACGAACGCUGGCGGCGUGCCUAAUACAUGCAAGUCGAACGCACUCUCGUUUAGAUUGAAGGAGCUUGCUCCUGAUUGAUAAACAUUUGAGUGAGUGGCGGACGGGUGAGUAACACGUGGGUAACCUGCCCUAAAGUGGGGGAUAACAUUUGGAAACAGAUGCUAAUACCGCAUAAAACCUAACACCGCAUGGUGUAGGGUUGAAAGAUGGUUUCGGCUAUCACUUUAGGAUGGACCCGCGGUGCAUUAGUUAGUUGGUGAGGUAAAGGCUCACCAAGACCGUGAUGCAUAGCCGACCUGAGAGGGUAAUCGGCCACACUGGGACCUGAGGACACGGGCCCAGACUCCUACGGGAGCAGCAGUAGGGAAUCUUUCCAC